rnacentral:rRNA from 1 species
CAGUAGCCGCGGGAAUACGGAGGGUGCAAGCGUUAAUCGGAAUUACUGGGCGUAAAGCGCACGCAGGCGGUCUGACAAGUCAGAUGUGAAAUCCCCGGGCUUAACCUGGGAACUGCAUUUGAAACUGUCAGGCUGGAGUCUUGUAGAGGGGGGUAGAAUUCCAGGUGUAGCGGUGAAAUGCGUAGAGAUCUGGAGGAAUACCGGUGGCGAAGGCGGCCCCCUGGACAAAGACUGACGCUCAGGUGCGAAAGCGUGGGGAGCAAACAGGAUUAGAUACCCGGGUAGUCCCUGUCUCUUAUAA